UUUUCAGUCCCUUUUCAAGCACAGUUUUUAUUUUAUAUAAAGCACAUUCAGUGGAGAAAGUGCAGCAGCUUGUGGGAUGUAGAUCUGUGUGAUCUGUGUGACGUGUGUUUAGUGCUGGGUCACUGCCAGAACUUCUGUCUUCUUUUUGGACUCUUUCAUCUACCUGGUGAUUUCUCAGAAUGGCUGAGAUUGGCAGCAGCCCUUGGAGAACUUCCAGGGUUUCCAAUAAUGAACUUUAAAUAUUAAAUUUUGUUUCUAGAGAAUGACAGUGGUGUUUGAAGAGCUUCGUGUGCAAGCAGAGAACGACAGAUUGGAAAUGAGUUUCAAAUAUUUCAGCUCUUACCAUACAGAGAGAUGAAAAAGAUGGUGUSAUAAAAGACAUCAAGGCUCAGCUGCAGGAAUCACAAAAUAAGAUUGCUGACUUACCAGAAGCAAAAUUACGUGAAAAAGAAAUGUUAAAGGAAUCCCAGGUCAGUCAAGAACAUUUGAGGGCACAGCUGGAAGAGGUUAAAAUUUCAUUGCAAAAGGCAGAGGUUACUCAAAAGAGUUUAGAAACUGAUUUCCAGUCUACAGUGAAAACAUUAAUUCAGGUCACUGGAGAAAAGGAAGCACAAGAGGAGCAAUGUAAAAAAAUGAAGGCUUUGCUUGCAGCCCUGAAAGAGGAGUUUGAGACUUCUAUUGCAAAUUUGAAAAGCUUGCUACAAAAAGAGAAAAAUAGGUAAAUUAAAAAGAUUAAAUUCAAAGAGUCAUCUUUCAGGUUGCUGUUUAUGACAAAAUGAAGAGUAAUUGGAAAUGAAGCUGAAAUCUGGAGUUUUUUUGACACAGUGGUCU